rnacentral:rRNA from 1 species
UACGUAGGUGGCGAGCGUUGUCCGGAUUUACUGGGCGUAAAGAGCGCGCAGGCGGUCGUGCGAGUCGCGUGUGAAAGCCCCCGGCUCAACUGGGGAGGGUCACGCGAUACUGCUCGACUCGAAGGCAGGAGAGGGAAGUGGAAUUCCCGGUGUAGUGGUGAAAUGCGUAGAUAUCGGGAGGAACACCAGUGGCGAAGGCGACUUCCUGGCCUGUUCUUGACGCUGAGGCGCGAAAGCUAGGGUAGCAAACGGG